rnacentral:rRNA from 1 species
AACGUAGGAGACGAACGUUAUCCGGAGUUACUGGGCGUAAAGGGCGUGUAGGCGGUUUGUUAAGUCUGGCGUGAAAGCUCUCGGCUAAACCGGGAGAGGUCGUUGGAUACUGGCGAACUAGAGGAUGGUAGAGGCGUGUGGAAUUCCGGGUGUAGUGGUGAAAUGCGUAGGGAUCCGGAGGAACACCAGUGGCGAAGGCGACACGCUGGGCCAUACCUGACGCUAAAGCGCGACAGCAUGGGGAGCAAACGGG